AGCUUGUCAUGCGUGCACUGGAAUUAUUACGUGAGUAGAUGGGCAAGUUACGUCAGCGUAAGUGGACCUUGAGUUGGGUGGAGCCUUGAAACUUGAAAGGGAACAGUUGACCGUUUUUGUUUUGCCGGGGGAGGGUGUUGAUCGUCGAGUAUGAUAAAACUUGUGCUUGUGGUUACUGGUUGGUGCUUGUGGUUACUGGUUGGUAAAAGAGUAUUUAUUUGAGUGCUUUAGUUGUUAUUUUUUUUGUUUAUAUAUUAUGGAAGUAUUUGCGUGUUUAAGCUAAAAAAUAUGUAUAAGUGCAAUUAUCCUUGACGAUAUAUACUUGUGUUUGGAUGAGCCUCCACCUACGGUGGCCAUCACCUUUCAGGUUUAGAGUUGGAGUGAAAAUUACAUUAUUAGUGAAUGUCAUGUUCAGCGGACCUACACAAAGAUAUCACCCUUCCUUGAGAUAAAAUCUAUAGCUAAACGUUGCUACGUGUCAAAACCUGAGAUGACAUAAAUAACUUCAACGGCUUGGUUUGUCGAUAUUCAAAUCAAUUUUUUUUAGAAUAAUGUUCACAUCAAAUUUUUAUCGUUACUUUUAUGUUAUCAAUACCAUUUUAUAAGCCUGAAAAAAGGAAAGAUGGUCGGUUGCUAAUCUUUAUCUGGUGAGUCAGAUGUGGGUCACAUGACCUUCAUCUUACUGG
rnacentral:misc_RNA from 1 species